rnacentral:rRNA from 1 species
UACGGAGGGUGCAAGCGUUAUCCGGAUUCACUGGGUUUAAAGGGAGCGUAGGUGGCUUUGUAAGUCAGUGGUGAAAUAUUGCGGCUCAACCGCAAAACUGCCAUUGAUACUGCUUAGCUUGAAUCACGUCGAGGUGGAUGGAAUAAUACAUGUAGCGGUGAAAUGCUUAGAUAUGUAUUAGAACACCGAUUGCGAAGGCAGUUCACUAGGCGUGUAUUGACACUGAGGCACGAAAGCGUGGGGAGCAAACAGG